UCUCCAAGCCAUUUGAAAGAAUUAAGGCUGGGAUUUUUAUGUUCUAGUUGCUGUUUUAAACCUUGUUUGUUUGUUUGUUUGCUGUUCCAGGACAUGCAAGAUUGGUGUGGCCUAGAGGCUUGGGCUCGCUGAGGCAGCAGGCCAGCUAUGAAACAGCUGGUGUCAAUGAUGCGGAUGGCUGAAGUUUUAUUUGGAGAACAGCAGUUGGUAUAAAAACUCUUCUGCUGCUUGCAUUGAAAAUACCCCAUACAGACACAUACCAUGGAGAGGAUGGCAAGGCUGAAAUUUUCCAACAUGGUACUUAAACCUAAGUUUAAGGACCAGAUGAGCUUGGAUUGCACCUGACCAUUUUUUUUUCAAUUAAAUUUUUUCUCUGUUACAUGUA